GGGCUUAUAGCUUAAUGGUAAAGCGCGUCGUUGACAUCGACGAGAGUGCAGGUUCGAUCCCUGCUAAGCCCA
rnacentral:tRNA from 1 species